CCUACGGGUGGCUGCAGUGGGGAAUAUUGGGCAAUGGAGGAAACUCUGACCCAGCAACGCCGCGUGAAUGAUGAAGGUCUUCGGAUUGUAAAGUUCUUUUCUAAGGUAAGAAGAAAGUGACGGUACCUUAGGAAUAAGCCUCGGCUAACUACGUGCCAGCAGCCGCGGUAAUACGUAGGAGGCGAGCGUUAUCCGGAAUCACUGGGCGUAAAGGGUGCGUAGGCGGGCGUUCAAGUCAGCUGUAAAAUCGCGCGGCUCAACCGCGCCCCGCAGUUGAAACUGGACGCCUUGAGUUCACAACAGGCAGGCGGAAUUCGUGGUGUAGCGGUGAAAUGCAUAGAUAUCACGAGGAACCCCGAUUGCGAAGGCAGCCUGCCGGGGUGCGACUGACGCUGAGGCUCGAAGGUGCGGGUAUCAAACAGGAUUAGAUACCCGUGUAGUC
rnacentral:rRNA from 1 species